rnacentral:rRNA from 1 species
UACAGAGGGGGCAAGCGUUGUUCGGAAUUACUGGGCGUAAAGGGCGCGUAGGCGGCCUGUUAAGUCGAACGUGAAAUCCCUGGGCUCAACCCAGGAACUGCGUCCGAUACUGGCAGGCUUGAAUUCGGGAGAGGGAUGUGGAAUUCCAGGUGUAGCGGUGAAACGCGUAGAUAUCUGGAGGAACACCGGUGGCGAAGGCGGCAUCCUGGACCGAUAUUGACGCUGAGGCGCGAAAGCCAGGGGAGCAAACGGG